rnacentral:lncRNA from 1 species
GUCGAUUCUCUAUUGGUAAGUAGCCACCACCUAUAUCAGCCAUAUGGGAGGAGGCGCAACAUGAACAGCUUUAUGUCUGCUUACCAAGGUCUCCCCACCUGUGCGUGCCAGUGUUGGGUAUGCUUGUGUCCGACAUAGGCAGGCGCCCGCAGUUGGUGGGCAGCCACUUAAGUGGUCCAUUUACAAACUCAGUGAGGAAAUAUCUCGGGGCUGUUGUAGCCCCUCCUACCCACGAGUCUGAAAUUGCUGAAGAAACAACCACCUGGCCCUGCUGUGAGAUACAGCAGAUUUAUUCCCAGUCAACAAACAGGGCAACUGGAGCAAGGAGUGGGAUUGCCUUCCCCCAAGCCACUCCAGGAAUGUAGAGCGGAACAAGAAGAGGGCCUGUGGCGGAUCCUGAUUCCUUUCUCCAGGAGGUAACCUGCAGCCCUCACACCCUCCCCAGGCACCUUUGGGCUCUCGGUGGCCCUGCUUGGAAAAGUCCCUCCUACUUAGUCCUUCUUUCCCACUAGACGCCCAAACGCUGCUAAUCCCCACAUCGGGCAUCCUCCGCGUCUGGUGAUUUUCCCUGGAGACCUCGUGGUCUCCGCCCACUUUUCAGCAAGAUUUAGUACCAGAAGGCCAUAGUGUGGCGGUGAAGAGAAGUCUUUGCAAAUCUGUGGUUUGGAGAAAGCUGGGUUCAAACAAUUCAGAUCUUCAAGAAUUUGCAGGGGAAAUGAUUUCUGGCAUCCUAGACUGGUGGCAAGACAAAAGUCAUGACAAUAGGUGAUGGCUCAAGAUGCAGUGAAUGACCGUGGCUUCUUCAAUGUUCAACCAAGGUCUAAGUGCUCCACAGUGCUCACUUCUGCCACUUUUAUGGCUGUUGGAGUAAAUUGUUCUCAUCCAGGUGAUGAGGACCUGGUGCGGUUGCUAUGUGAGAGAAAUAAAAGAAAGGAAAAACCUCCAGAUUCAUAGUAUCCUUCUCAGAAGACCAGGGCUGGGAAUGCUGUAUGGAGGGGACAGAAGUAGCCCACCAUUAUUCACAUCGGCCUCAUGCAGAGACUACCCUAAGGAAGCAAGGUCCCUUCCAUUCCUCAUCAGAAAACAGUGGAAUAAGCCCAGGCUUCAUGGCUGCACAGUGUUUUGGGGCUUGAUGCAAUCAGCACAUUGUCAUCAGCAAAGAGGAGCAUCUGGAGCACCAUACUAUCUAUAG